GUAACGGUGUCUUUAGACACCACAUGUUAUCUUUGAAAUUUAUU
rfam:Picea glauca, whole genome shotgun sequence.